CUAACACAUGCAAGUCGAGCGGUAGCACAGAGAGCUUGCUCUCGGGUGACGAGCGGCGGACGGGUGAGUAAUGUCUGGGAAACUGCCUGAUGGAGGGGGAUAACUACUGGAAACGGUAGCUAAUACCGCAUAACGUCGCAAGACCAAAGUGGGGGACCUUCGGGCCUCAUGCCAUCAGAUGUGCCCAGAUGGGAUUAGCUAGUAGGUGGGGUAACGGCUCACCUAGGCGACGAUCCCUAGCUGGUCUGAGAGGAUGACCAGCCACACUGGAACUGAGACACGGUCCAGACUCCUACGGGAGGCAGCAGUGGGGAAUAUUGCACAAUGGGCGCAAGCCUGAUGCAGCCAUGCCGCGUGUGUGAAGAAGGCCUUCGGGUUGUAAAGCACUUUCAGCGGGGAGGAAGGCGUUAAGGUUAAUAACCUUGGCGAUUGACGUUACCCGCAGAAGAAGCACCGGCUAACUCCGUGCCAGCAGCCGCGGUAAUACGGAGGGUGCAAGCGUUAAUCGGAAUUACUGGGCGUAAAGCGCACGCAGGCGGUCUGUCAAGUCGGAUGUGAAAUCCCCGGGCUCAACCUGGGAACUGCAUUCGAAACUGGCAGGCUAGAGUCUUGUAGAGGGGGGUAGAAUUCCAGGUGUAGCGGUGAAAUGCGUAGAGAUCUGGAGGAAUACCGGUGGCGAAGGCGGCCCCCUGGACAAAGACUGACGCUCAGGUGCGAAAGCGUGGGGAGCAAAACAGGAUUAGAUACCCUGGUAGUCCACGCCGUAAACGAUGUCGAUUUGGAGGUUGUGCCCUUGAGGCGUGGCUUCCGGAGCUAACGCGUUAAAUCGACCGCCUGGGGAGUACGGCCGCAAGGUUAAAACUCAAAUGAAUUGACGGGGGCCCGCACAAGCGGUGGAGCAUGUGGUUUAAUUCGAUGCAACGCGAAGAACCUUACCUGGUCUUGACAUCCACAGAACUUUCCAGAGAUGGAUUGGUGCCUUCGGGAACUGUGAGACAGGUGCUGCAUGGCUGUCGUCAGCUCGUGUUGUGAAAUGUUGGGUUAAGUCCCGCAACGAGCGCAACCCUUAUCCUUUGUUGCCAGCGGUUAGGCCGGGAACUCAAAGGAGACUGCCAGUGAUAAACUGGAGGAAGGUGGGGAUGACGUCAAGUCAUCAUGGCCCUUACGACCAGGGCUACACACGUGCUACAAUGGCAUAUACAAAGAGAAGCGACCUCGCGAGAGCAAGCGGACCUCAUAAAGUAUGUCGUAGUCCGGAUUGGAGUCUGCAACUCGACUCCAUGAAGUCGGAAUCGCUAGUAAUCGUAGAUCAGAAUGCUACGGUGAAUACGUUCCCGGGCCUUGUACACACCGCCCGUCACACCAUGGGAGUGGGUUGCAAAAGAAGUAGGUAGCUU
rnacentral:rRNA from 1 species